rnacentral:rRNA from 1 species
GACGAACGCUGGCGGCGUGCUUAACACAUGCAAGUCGAACGGAAAGGCCCUGCUUUUGUGGGGUGCUCGAGUGGCGAACGGGUGAGUAACACGUGAGUAACCUGCCCUUGACUUUGGGAUAACUUCAGGAAACUGGGGCUAAUACCGGAUAGGAGCUCCUGCUGCAUGGUGGGGGUUGGAAAGUUUCGGCGGUUGGGGAUGGACUCGCGGCUUAUCAGCUUGUUGGUGGGGUAGUGGCUUACCAAGGCUUUGACGGGUAGACGGCCUGGGAGGGGGACCGGCCACAUGGGGACUGAGAUACGGCCCAGACUCGUACGGGAGGCAGCAGUGGGGAAUAUUGCACAAUGGGCGGAAGCCUGAUGCAGCGACGCCGCGUGCGGGAUGACGGCCUUCGGGUUGUAAACCGCUUUCGACUGUGACGAAGCGUGAGUGACGGUAAUGGGUAAAGAAGCACCGGCUAACUACGUG